UAUAGUUCAAUCAAACUCGGAUGGAGAAAUGACCAAAAUAAAAUUGGUAGAUCUCAAUGAGUUCUACAACUUUGUUUCUGACAACUUUUUCAUAUGAGUUCAUUUAGUAUCAUAAAAUUUAAUUCGAAAUUCAUUUUUGCCAAGAAGUCUGAUUUGGCUCCUCUUUUUAGUUGGGUUGGCUUAUAGGCUAUGGCAGCCUUAUAUAUAAGUCGGAUAUCCGAUGGAAAAUACCGGAUAAUAUCCGACGGAUAUCCGAUUCCGGCGGAUAUCACCUAUAUCAUAUUUGUUUUCAUAUCCGAAUUCUUUUCCGAAUUCGAAAAUUUCCAGAUAUAUCCGACCAAAACUAUCCGAAUCCGAAAAAAGCUCCGGUCGGACGGAAAUUAUCCGAAUCACUUUCAACCCUAGGGCACUUGACAGCACACACAUCCCUCCAUUUGUCCCUGAGAGCAUAGUUAACAGGUUUAGAGGUCGCAAGUCAUAUCCAACUCAAAAUGUACUUGCUGCAAUUGACUUUCAUUUGAGGUUUACAUAUGUGCUUGCUGGAUGGGAGGGCUCGGCACAUGACUCAGCAGUGCUGGAGGAUGCCCUUAAAAGAUCAAAUGGAAUUCAAAUACCUGAAGGAAAAUACUAUUUAGCCGAUGCAGGGUAGGCGGCAAGACCUGGUAUACUUCCACCAUUUAGAGGAGUUUAGUACCAUCUGAAAGAGUACGAAGGCGGGAGAGCACCAGAAACACCCCAAGAAUUAUUUAAUCUUCGGCAUUCCUCUCUUCGCACAUCUGUUGAGAGAGCAUUUGGAACCUUAAAAAAUCGUUUCAAAAUUCUUGCUAGCAAGCCUUUCUUUCCAUAUAAAGUCCAAGUGAAGAUAGUGAUAGCGUGCUGUGUGCUCCAUAAUUGGAUCCUUGAUAAUGGUCCCGACAACCUUGUAUAUGAUGAAACUCGUUGGUUUAAUGAACUACCUAGAUCAGCUAGAGUAGCUACAGAUCAAGGGGAGGAGCAUAGGCAAUGGAUGGAAUUUCGAAACAAUCUAGCUAAUGUUAUGUGGGACGAACAUUAGUGGCAAUAUCAACUAUUGUAUACUGCCAUUAUCAACUAGUGUAUGCCAGCAUUACUUGGUGUUGUGUUCCCAUGGAUAUUGUUAUAUGGCUAUGACCUAUUUAUCUAUGAAUUGUUCUGCUAGCACCUUUUUUGGGGUGAACUA